rnacentral:rRNA from 1 species
AGUCUACGGGGAGGCAGCAGGUGGGGAAUUUUGGACAAUGGGCGAAAGCCUGAUCCAGCAAUGCCGCGUGUGUGAUGAAGGCCUUCGGGUUGUAAAGCACUUUUGGCGGGAACGAAAAGGACUGUGCCAAUACCACGGUUCGAUGACGGUACCCGCAGAAUAAGCACCGGCUAACUACGUGCCAGCAGCCGCGGUAAUGACU